GACGAACGCUGGCGGCGUGCUUAACACAUGCAAGUCGAACGGAAAGGCCCUGAUUUUGUGGGGUUCUCGAGUGGCGAACGGGUGAGUAACACAUGAGUAACCUGCACUUGACAUUCGGGUAACUUCAGGGAACAGGGGCUAAUAUCGGGUAGAAGCUACUGCAGCAUGGUGGGGGAUGGAAAGAGUCGGCUGUGGGGGAUGUACUAGCGGCGUAGCAGCUAGUUGGUGGGGUAGUGGCUUACCAGGGGUUCGACGGGUAGCCGACCUGAUAGGGUGAUCGGCUACACUGGAACUGAGACACGGUCCAGGCUCCUACGGGAGGCAGCAGUAGGGAAUGGUCGGCAGUGGGCGAAAGCUUGACGGAGCAACGCCGCGCGAGUGAUGAAGGUCUUCGGAUCGUAAAACUCUGUUAGUGGGGAAGAACCAAUGUGUAAGUAACUAUGCACGGCUUGACGGUACCUAAUAAGAAAGCCACGGCUAACUACGUG
rnacentral:rRNA from 1 species